rnacentral:rRNA from 1 species
AGCAGCCGCGGUAAUUCCAGCUCCAAUAGCGUAUAUUAAAGUUGUUGCAGUUAAAAAGCUCGUAGUUGAAUUUCGGGAUCAAUAUUUCGGUCAUGCCGUUGGUAUGCACUGUUAUCAUUGAUUUCUCACCUUCUAAAGAACCGUAAUGCCAUUAAUUUGGCGUUACGGGGAAUUAGGACUGUUACCUUGAAAAAUUAGAGUGUUUAAAGCAGGCUCACGCUUGAAUACAUUAGCAUGGAAUAAUGAAAUAGGACAUCCGAUUCUAUUUUGUUGGUUUCUAGGAUCGAUGUAAUGAUUAAUAGGGAUAGUUGGGGGCAUUAGUAUUCAAUUGUCAGAGGUGAAAUUCUUGGAUUUAUUGAAGACUAACUACCGCGAAAGCAUUUGCCAAGGAUGUUUUCAUUAAUCAAGAACGAAAGUUAGGGGAUCGAAGACGAUCAGAUACCGUCGUAGUCUUAACCAUAAACUAUGCCGACUAGGGAUCGGAUGAUGUUAAUUUUUAAUGUACUCA